rnacentral:rRNA from 1 species
UACGAAGGGGGCUAGCGUUGCUCGGAAUCACUGGGCGUAAAGGGUGCGUAGGCGGGUCUUUUAAGUCAGGGGUGAAAUCCUGGAGCUCAACUCCAGAACUGCCUUUGAUACUGAGGAUCUCGAGUUCGGGAGAGGUGAGUGGAACUGCGAGUGUAGAGGUGAAAUUCGUAGAUAUUCGCAAGAACACCAGUGGCGAAGGCGGCUCACUGGCCCGGAUA